UCUCUGCUGGGCAGCACAGGCAGCGCCGCCUGGUGCUGGCUGCGAUGCCGUGCAGCUCCUGCACCGUGGGGUGCCUGGGGGAGUGGGCCCAGCCUUGGGGGGUGCCAUGGGGGUACAGCGGGGUGCAGAUUCCCCCACCUCGUGCGCCCAGGGUGUCAGUUUUUGGCCCCAUCUGUGCUAUGGAGUGAGAAAGCCAUCGGAGAGCAGGUGGCCUAGCCAGCCACGGGUGGUGCAAAGAGGAUGGGGGAUAUGUUUUAGAACACCACUGGCAACCAACAGUCCCCAGUGGGAGCCCGAGCAGACGUUUUUUGCUUUCCAUCCUGCUCUGGGUGCAUGGGGUGAUGUUGGCAGCUGGGGUGGAUGGAGGGGAUGAGAGGCACAGGAGGUGGGAGAUGAGGGAGUGUGUGGGUGGAGGGAGAGGCUGGAUCCGGCAUCCGGGAGGACACGAGGCAGUGGGAAGGGUCACCAUGAGGCAUCUGAGGACCACGGUGUAGCUAGGCUGCACAGGGAUGCUCUUGCACACUGGGGUCAAUCUCCCUGCUGCCUAGAGAGGGCUGAGGCUCAAACAUCCUGCCUGAUUGCAAACUGUGGAGCUCAGCACGACGAGCAACCAGGCCCUCUUCCUCCAUAAUGUCUGAACACAAUUGUCCCACUACCACAUGCAUGCAAAGAAAUUGCUAAAAAUAAAAUAAGGCAGCUCUGCUUUAAAGACACUCUAAAAUCAAGCUUGCAAUUUUAUCACCACCUUAGAAUGUUGCUCUGGUAUCAAAAGCUCUCCUAAGCCACUGCCACUAUGUUACCCCGUGCCCUGUACUUCCCCCAGCACCCCUAUGGGUCUGGCUGAGCCCCCCCCAGGGGCACAGCGUAGCCGGCCAGGGGGUGCUCAGUGUUGGAGCAGCUCACUGGCACAGACACUCCACGAGGGUGAGGCACAAGCUAACUGAAUGCAUAACUUUAUUAAAUAAAUGCUUUGUCAUGAGACAAAGAUCAAAGAGUAACAUAAAUUAUAAGUUGAAUAAAUAGUAUACAGCAAUCUUCACUUUUUAAUAAAAUGUGAGAUUUUUUUUUUAAGUACAAAAUGCUAAACAGAGCAUUAAGCUCUUCUUCCAUUGUCAGUUUUUCACAAACUGCUUUUUUUUUUUUUUCCCACCAGUAAGAUUAUGAGUAUUUCUUGUUUACUGGAAAAAAAAAAAAACAACAACAAAAACAAAACAAAACAACAGAGCUACCGUAUGUAUGUAAAGCUAUAAAAAGCUACCGUAAAAUGUGUAGUGAGUAUUGCUUAAAGAUAAAAACCAGGCAGGAAACUCGGAAUCUGGUGUGUUUUAACAACUGUGUUACAACGGUGGGUAACGUGCGCAGUGACGUCUGUCCCGGUGGCAGUGGCGGGGGGCUGGCAGGGCUGGGGAGGGGGGCAUAGUAGGCAGGGCUCCUAGCCAGCGCCAGGACAGCGGUCUGGAAGUGAGGUGAGCUGUCAGUCGUUAAAUAUACAAUGCUCCGUUCGGGAAAAAAAAAGUCAACAUAAAAACCCCACCCAACAACAACAAAAAAGUUUUCAUGGGGGACGGGGAGAAAAAAGAGAAGGGGGGAGAAAGAGCAGAGAAAUAGUGCAAAAUGCUCUUGUACUAGUGGUUUUCGAAGUCCACUGCAGUACAGACAAGGGGUAGCCCAGCCGCUGAGCGCCGCUCCCCGGGGAGGUGUGGUGGAAGGUCUGUCCUGACCCCUGUGCCAUCCUUGUCCUCUCCUUUGCAUCCAGCAUUCUGGGCACCAGCAGGGGCUUGCUUGGUGCAAACACUGGCUGGAGACCCCCGAGCCUCACAACUCCCCUGAUGCACAAAUUGCCAGCACUUCCCCACGUUCCUCAACCCCUCCCACUGCUCACCCAGUCUUCCCCAGCUCCCAGAUCUGCUUUUACUCACCCCAAAUGCAAAGGGCACUGAGAAUGGGACCACUAUGUCACUGCCACCCCUGAUGGGGGGGCCAACCUCUCCUGAAUCCACUCCCAGUCUGAUCCAGGCUCCAACUCCAGUCCUAAAUAUUAGUGCAGCCUGCAAACAGCCUCAUCCUCCAGGGAUCCUCAAGGAAGCGGAUGGCUGGGGGUUCUCUCAGUGCCCCAUCCCGGGAGCUGAGGUGGCCUGGGGAGGUGAGGGUGGUUCAGCUCCCUCCUUGCAUCCUCCUCCCCCCAGGUCGGUGGGGACAGGACAGGCAGUACCAUCCCAGCACUGGAUGUGCAGCAGCGAGGGAGGCUGCACAGGAUGGAUUUUGGUGCUCUGGGCUCCUGGGGCCCUGGCUAGACUUGCUUUCUAGGGAGAGGUCAGGGAGGCACCCUGUGUCCCCCUCCCAUUGUCACUGUGAUGGCCACAUCAUGAGACCACCACCAGGCCCUGUGAGCUGACCCUCAAGCUGCAAAAGCAUCAGCCCAAAAGGCAAGGUCCCUGGGGAGCUGCUGUCCCUCUACCCACUCCCAUCCUGCCCCAGCAGCACGUCUCCUUUCUCUGCAGCCAGAGGCUUUCAAGUUUUGGGAAAUCAAACAACAAAACAAACGAACGAAUAAAAAAGCAAGAAAGAGAGAGAGAGGAGGAGGGAGGGGUCCUGGGGAAGGUGGUACUGGCCUAUAACAGGAGGUUUUGCACAGGGAUCGGUGAGUGGAGGAGAUGGGAGACAGUGGUGACAGUGACGACCUGUGGCCCUUGGGGUUGGCACAGGCUCCUCCUCCUGCCUUCUUUACCCCAUUCUUCACCCCACUUUCACCACACCAUUAUCCCACCACCCUGGUCAAACCAACCCUGCUCCAUCAGCCCUGCGAAGACUGCAGGUGUCCCUCCC